rnacentral:rRNA from 1 species
CGGAGGAAAAGAAACUAACAAGGAUUCCCCUAGUAACUGCGAGUGAAGCGGGAAAAGCUCAAAUUUAAAAUCUGGCAGUCUUUGGCUGUCCGAGUUGUAAACUAGAGAAGUGUUAUCCGCGCUGGACCGUGUACAAGUCUCCUGGAAUGGAGCGUCAUAGAGGGUGAGAAUCCCGUCUUUGACACGGACUACCAGGGCUUUGUGAUGCGCUCUCAAAGAGUCGGGUUGUUUGGGAAUGCAGCUCAAAAUGGGUGGUAAAUUCCAUCUAAAGCUAAAUAUUGGCGAGAGACCGAUAGCGAACAAGUACCGUGAGGGAAAGAUGAAAAGAACUUUGGAAAGAGAGUUAAACAGUACGUGAAAUUGCUGAAAGGGAAACGCUUGAAGUCAGUCGCGUUGUCCAGGGAUCAACCUUGCUUUUGCUUGGUGUACUUUCUGGUUGACGGGUCAGCAUCAAUUUUGACUAUUGGAAAAAGAUUAGGGGAAUGUGACAUCUUCGGAUGUGUUAUAGCCCUUGGUUGCAUACAAUGGUUGGGAUUGAGGAACUCAGCACGCCGCAAGGCCGGGUAAUUUUACCACGUUCGUGCUUAGGAUGCUGGCAUAAUGGCUUUAAUCGACCCGUCUUGAAACACGGACCAAGGAGUCUAACAUGCCUGCGAGUGUUUGGGUGGAAAACCCGAGCGCGUAAUGAAAGUGAAAGUUGAGAUCCCUGUCGUGGGGAGCAUCGACGCCCGGACCAGACCUUUUGUGACGGUUCCGCGGUAGAGCAUGUAUGUUGGGACCCGAAAGAUGGUGAACUAUGCCUGAAUAGGGUGAAGCCAGAGGAAACUCUGGUGGAGGCUCGUAGCGAUUCUGACGUGCAAAUCGAUCGUCAAAUUUGGGUAUAGGGGCGAAAGACUAAUCGAACCAUCUAGUAGCUGG